UGGGACAAAUGGCUAGAACGCAGAGUAAUGCCAUCAUUGGGUAUAUAAAUUCAAGACUGAAGAAUUAACAGCCACCCCUCAGAUGGAGAACCAGGUGCAGGGUUGAUCCUUUCUGGGUGCUGUAAUCAGAAAGAGUGCGGCUAUCUUCCAGCAGCUUUGCCUGCAAAAAGGUGAGCCUCUGCUGGUCAGGGCAGAUCCCUUCUUUAUCUUGGAUCUUAGCUUUCACAUUCUCAAUGGUGUCACUGGGCUCCACCUCCAGAGUGAUGGUCUUGCCAGUCAGGGUCUUCGCAAACAUCUGCAUACCACGCCUCAGAUGCAGGGCAGGGUACAGGGUCGACCCUUUCAGGAUAUUGUAAUCAAAAAGAGCCUGGUCAUCUUCCAGAUGCUUGCCUGCAAUAAUGAGCCUCUUUAUCCUGGAUCUUUUUCUAUGGUGUCACUGGAUUCCACUUCCAAGGCAAUAGUCUUGCCGGUCAAAGUCUU
rnacentral:lncRNA from 1 species